rnacentral:rRNA from 1 species
ACUCUCGGCAACGGAUAUCUCGGCUCUCGCAUCGAUGAAGAACGUAGCGAAAUGCGAUACUUGGUGUGAAUUGCAGAAUCCCGUGAACCAUUGAGUCUUUGAACGCAAGUUGCGCCCGAAGCCUUCUGGCUGAGGGCACGCCUGCCUGGGCGUCACGCAUCG